UACGUAGGGUGCAAGCGUUGUCCGGAAUCAUUGGGCGUAAAGAGCGUGUAGGCGGCUCGAUCAGUCUGCUGUGAAAGCCCAGGGCUCAACCCUGGGAUGCCGGUAGAUACUGUCGAGCUAGAGUCCGGAAGAGGCGAGUGGAAUUCCUGGUGUAGCGGUGAAAUGCGCAGAUAUCAGGAGGAACACCAAUGGCGAAGGCAGCUCGCUGGGACGGUACUGACGCUGAGACGCGAAAGCGUGGGGAGCAAACAGG
rnacentral:rRNA from 1 species